rnacentral:rRNA from 1 species
GUGCCAGCCGCCGCGGUAAUACGAAGGGGGCUAGCGUUGUUCGGAAUUACUGGGCGUAAAGGGCGCGUAGGCUGUGCUGUAAGUCAGGCGUGAAAGGCCCGGGCUCAACCUGGGAACUGCGCAUGAUACUGCGGCGCUUGAAGGCGGGAGAGGAUGGCGGAAUUCCCAGUGUAGAGGUGAAAUUCGUAGAUAUUGGGAAGAACACCGGUGGCGAAGGCGGCCAUCUGGCCCGCAAUUGACGCUGAGGCGCGAAAGCGUGGGGAGCAAACAGGAUUAGAAACCCUAGUAGUCC